AACGAACGCUGGCGGCAUGCCUAACACAUGCAAGUCGAACGAGACCUUCGGGUCUAGUGGCGCACGGGUGCGUAACGCGUGGGAACCUGCCUUUAGGUUCGGAAUAACAGUGAGAAAUUACUGCUAAUACCGGAUGAUGUCUUCGGACCAAAGAUUUAUCGCCUUUAGAUGGGCCCGCGUUGGAUUAGCUAGUUGGUGGGGUAAAGGCCUACCAAGGCGACGAUCCAUAGCUGGUCUGAGAGGAUGAUCAGCCACACUGGGACUGAGACACGGCCCAGACUCCUACGGGAGGCAGCAGUGGGGAAUAUUGGACAAUGGGCGAAAGCCUGAUCCAGCAAUGCCGCGUGAGUGAUGAAGGCCUUAGGGUUGUAAAGCUCUUUUAGUGGGGAAGGAUAAUGACUGUACCCACAGAAGGAAGCCCCCGGGCUAACUCCGUG
rnacentral:rRNA from 1 species